rnacentral:rRNA from 1 species
CCUACGGGAGGCAGCAGUGAGGAAUAUUGGUCAAUGGGCGAGAGUCUGAACCAGCCAAGUCGCGUGAAGGAUGACGGUCCUAUGGAUUGUAAACCUCUUUUAUAGGGGAGUAAAAUGCGCCACGUGUGGCAUUUUGUAUGUACCAGAUGAAUAAGCAUCGGCUAACUCCGUGCCAGCAGCCGCGGUAAUACGGAGGAUCCGAGCGUUAUCCGGAUUUAUUGGGUUUAAAGGGAGCGUAGGUGGAUUGUUAAGUCAGUUGUGAAAGUCUGCGGCUCAACCGUAAAAGUGCCGUUGAAACUGGCAGUCUUGAGUACAGUAGAGGUAGGCGGAAUUCGUGGUGUAGCGGUGAAAUGCUUAGAUAUCACGAAGAACUCCGAUUGCGAAGGCAGCUUACUGGACUGCAACUGACGCUGAGGCUCGAAAGUGUGGGUAUCGAACAGGAUUAGAUACCCGUGUAGUC